ACGGAUGGACAGAGAGGAUUUCUCACAAACAUCACGGUGGCCCAGUAGCGUUCUGUCGGAGGAAGUCCCUGCAACAAGCUAUCGCAGUCAAAUCCGCUUCGGCGCCCUUGCUGCUGAUUCCCUCCAAGGCUAAAGUAAUGGGAUGGAUGGUAAUUGACACAUAGUGACUGCUCCAUCAUCCUCGAACUGGUGGUACUAUAGAGAGAUUCGUGGAAAUGUGGAGAACCGCAUCCUCUCACCACACCCACUGGGAAGCCAUGAUUUCUGCUUUCUCUUCUUCUUCCUCUUUUAUGCCCACCCAUUUUCGUCCUCUAAGAACCCUAGUUUUACCUUCCCACAGCCGCGCCUCCUUCUCUUCUUCACACUUCCAGCCUCCUCUCCACCGCUUCAGCUCCUUUACCUCUUCGUUCAGGCAUCCCUCGAGGAAUUCCGUCAUCACCACCGUCAUCCGAUCCCUUUCAUCCAUCUCUUCGGGCGAGGAAUUGGAAUGCAAAGAACCCUGUCUAUAUUCGGAGGCUGGCAGCAGCAGCGAUGGAUACCAGGAGCAUUUGUUGGAGUUGCAGAAAGAGAAGCAGAGCCGGUUCAUCACCGUCAAGGCCUAUUUUCUCUGUACCAGCAUCGAUUUGAGAAGCUUGCAGAAUCAGAAUGCUUUCAAUGUCAUUCCUCCUAACUCCCGUGCAACCAACUACAUUGUCCUCAGAUACUGUGACAUCAAGGCUGAUCCUCAUGGUGCAGAGGCCACCUUUGGAAGUGGAAGUAACUGCUGUCACAUGGUAGUUUUUCAAUAUGGAUCUAUCGUGUUGUUUAAUGUUUCUGAUCAUGAAGUUGAUGGAUAUCUGAAGAUUGUUGAAAAACAUGCUUCAGGAUUGCUUCCAGAAAUGAGAAAGGAUGAUUAUGCUGUAGUAGAGAAGCCAAGUCUAAAGGCAUGGAUGCAAGGUGGGUUGGACUACAUAAUGCUUAGGAACUUGACCAUAGAUGGGAUUCGUACAAUUGGAAGCGUUCUUGGUCAAAGCAUUGCUCUUGACUACUAUAUUCGUCAGGUCGAUGGAAUGGUUGCAGAAUUCACAGAUAUAAAUCGUGGGAUGGAGAAAACUGGUACCUUUACUAUGAAGCGGAAAAAGCUUUUCCAACUAGUAGGAAAAGCGAACUCUAAUCUAGCUGAUGUGAUUCUUAAGCUAGGACUUUUCGAGAGGUCAGACAUAGCUUGGAAAGAUGCUAACUAUGCUCAGAUAUGGGAGUAUCUUCGAGAUGAAUAUGAACUGACUCAGAGAUUUGGAAGCCUUGAUUUUAAGCUGAAGUUCGUGGAGCACAAUAUUCGCUUUCUACAAGAAAUUCUUCAGAAUAGGAAAUCAGAUUUUCUGGAAUGGCUUAUCAUUAUAUUGAUUAGUGUUGAGAUUCUCAUCUCUGUUUAUAAUAUUGUCCGCGAGUCCACAAUGACUUAGCUUUGACAUAGAGAGAUGCUGGAAGCUAGAAGAAUGUCAAGUUUAAGAUUGAAGACAUGGUCAAAUUCCUCAUUCCAGCUGAUGGUGCCGUCCAUUUGGAUAUGCUGUUUUGAGGUGCAAUUCCUGUGGACUCCUUUUGAUAAGUUAUGAAUUCGGCUUCUACAACCUCUCCAUUCUAUCUGUACAAUCAAUUCACUGGCUGGGGGAUUCUGUAAGCCCAUUGUUGGUAAGCCUUGGAGACUCUGGAUGAUGAGAUGGAGCUUGAACCUCCUGGUGGUUGCAGGAGUGGUACAGGUCCCCCAUCUGCGCAUUCCGGUAGCAAGAAAUCUGCAAUUGAAGAUUCUGAGGACCUACUUUCUUCUUCUUCUUUUCUUGAAUGGGUGGAGGAAUAUCACAAGAACAGUUUCAUAAUCCAAAGGUGUGAAUUGUAGAUAAGUGUCCUUGGUUUGGUUUGUUCUCUAAGCUGAUUGGCAACCCAGAUGCUCUUACAGGCUGUUUCAAGUCAACUUCAUCACAGGUAAGCCAAUUUUAAAAAUGUGUUCUUAAAGGAGUAGUUAUAUGGGA